GAAUAAAGCAGCAAUGCGUAAACAAGCGCUGGAUCCUCCUCCGCUCCUUUCCUAUCAUCUAUUCUGAAACCAGUUCCGUAUUCAGUGCUAGCCUACAUUAAUGUAACAUCGGCGCCCACAUCAUACAGCGUAUAUAGAUAGAAUUGUCGGAUAAGAUCACACCAUCUCGACCAUGGAGCCUUGAACUGGAAUACACCCACAGCACCACAGAGAUGAAAAUGCAGCACACUUGAUAUCUCCCUGGAGGGGAAGCCUGAUUUAAGAUGAAGCGACUGAAGGGGAAAACCCAGAAGUGUGGAGCAUUUCAGAAAAUCCUGUGAACUCUGACCUCCAGCCCCCAUCUGCCAUCAUUCCUUUCCCCCAAAUACACAGCACUCCCAUCCAUCAACACUCCUGCUCUGGUCCAAGAUGACCUCGCCGAGAAAGCACCUGGUCAAGGAUUUCAACCACUUUAUCACAUGCUACGUAUGUAAAGGAUACCUGAUCAAGCCCACUACGGUGACUGAGUGCCUGCACACCUUUUGUAAAAGCUGCAUCGUCCAACACUUUGAAGACAGCAACGACUGCCCCAAAUGUGGCAUUCAAGUCCACGAAACCAACCCUCUAGAGAUGUUAAGGUUGGACAACACUUUAGAGGAAAUCAUUUUCAAACUCGUGCCUGGGCUGAGAGAAAAGGAACAACAGCAGGAGAUUGAGUUCUGGAGGAGUCGAAAGUCGAAGGAGAACGGAGAAGAAGAUGGCCCCCGAUCAAAGAGGUCUAGGCUAGAUGCCGAGAAUGAUGACGGUGGAGAUGGAGACUACCACAGGAGUGACCCUCAGAUAGCCAUCUGUCUGGAUUGUCUACGCAACAACAGUCUGGUGGAAGAGAACAUUGUGAGGGGCUUAAUGAAGAAAUUUAUACGCUGCUCGACUCGAGUGACAGUCGGAACAAUCAAGAAGUUUCUCAGCUUGAAGUUAAAGCUUCCAAGUUCUUAUGAGCUAGACGUCCUAUGCAACGGGGAGAUCAUGGGAAAAGACCACACCAUGGAGUUCAUCUACAUGACGCGGUGGAGACUUCGCGGUGAAACCAAUAUGUGACAGCUCUGUGAUGCCAAGAAUGAAUUCCUGUCCUCCCCUGGACCAAAUGACCAGGAACUGGGACUACCCAAUGGUACUAGAAUAUCGCCCACGGAUAGACUUUGGUUGAUGGAGGGAGACGUGGGACUACUCCUGCACUAACAGCCCAUUGACAGACUACACAAUGAAUGGAUGUGCCUGGCACAAGAGACAAGGACCACACAUCUUCUUAUCAUCUGCAUGCAGUAAUCCGUGAUUGCCUCUAAUCUCAUUCUGUUCUCUUACGUUAUCCUUCAGUUUCACUGUCUGCGUUUCAUUUGUCAAAAACGCAUCAAGGGUUUGAGAGCAUGCCUGUGUAUCAUGACAUAUUGAUUCUUUUUUUUUAAAGUACCGAAAUGUAAUUGACUGAAGAGUGAAGACAUGCCCUUUAAUUCUACAGCACAUUGAAGUGUCCCUAAUAAUACAAGGUGAAAUGACUAGUAGUCUGUUGUUACGCAACACAACAGAGAUAUUACAAGACAGGUGUGCGCACUGGCAAACGGCUCAUAAUAUUCCACCUUAUCUAUGCUGGAUUUCGUGUCUUACAUGGCUCCCUCCCUUAUUCCUGUUUUUAACUACGGUAGUGCCUUUCCCCACAUGCCUCUUUCAGUGCAGUGCCCUUUGAAAUUCAAACUGCUUUUCAUAUGAAAUCCCGAAUAGUGAAUUCAACAGCCCCAA